CCUAGAACUUACCACCAGGAUCACUGAGCUGCUGAGCGGAGAGGUUCCUAUAAGGUGUCAGGAUGUCGCUGUCUAUUUCUCCAUGGAGGAGUGGGAGUAUUUAGAAGAACACAGGGAUCUGUACAAGGACGUCUUGAUGGAGAAUCACCAGUCCCUCACAUCACCGGGUGAAGGCGGGAUGAGCGGCUCCCAUGGACAUCUCCAUUUAUCAUCCCAUCAUGAAGCAGAAUAUAA